AGAGUUUGAUCCUGGCUCAGAUUGAACGCUGGCGGCAGGCCUAACACAUGCAAGUCGAACGGUAGCAGGAUGUGCUUGCACAUCGCUGACGAGUGGCGGACGGGUGAGUAAUGCUUGGGAACUUGCCUUUGCGAGGGGGAUAACAGUUGGAAACGACUGCUAAUACCGCAUAAUGUCUACGGACCAAACGGGGCUUAGACUCCGGCGCAGAGAGAGGCCCAAGUGAGAUUAGCUGGAUGGUGGGGUAAAGGCUCACCAAGGCAACGAUCUCUAGCUGUUCUGAGAGGAAGAUCAGCCACACUGGGACUGAGACACGGCCCAGACUCCUACGGGAGGCAGCAGUGGGGAAUAUUGCACAAUGGGGGAAACCCUGAUGCAGCCAUGCCGCGUGUGUGAAGAAGGCCUUCGGGUUGUAAAGCACUUUCAGUU
rnacentral:rRNA from 1 species